GAUGAAGAACGUAGCGAAAUGCGAUAAGUAAUGUGAAUUGCAGAAUUCAGUGAAUCAUCGAAUCUUUGAACGCACAUUGCGCCCGUCAGUAUUCUGGCGGGCAUGCCUGUUCGAGCGUCAUUACGCCCCUCAAGUCCCCUGUGGACUUGGUGUUGGGGAUCGGCGAGGCUGGUUUUCCAGCACAGCCGUCCCUUAAAUUAAUUGGCGGUCUCGCCGUGGCCCUCCUCUGCGCAGUAGUAAAACAGUCGCAACAGGAGCCCGGCGCGGUCCACUGCCGUAAAACCCCCCAACUUUUUAUAGUUGACCUCGAAUCAGGUAGGACUACCCGCUGAACUUAAGCAUAUCAAUAAGCGGAGGA
rnacentral:misc_RNA from 1 species